rnacentral:rRNA from 1 species
UACGGAGGGUGCAAACGUUGCUCGGAAUCAUUGGGCGUAAAGCGCACGUAGGCGGCGGCAUAAGCGGAAUGUGAAAGCCCAGGGCUCAACCUUGGAAGUGCAUCCCGAACUGUGUCGCUUGAAUCUCGGAGGGGGACAGAGAAUUCCCGGUGUAGAGGUGAUAUUCGUAGAUAUCGGGAGGAAUACCAGUGGCGAAGGCGCUGUCCUGGACGAAGAUUGACGCUGAGGUGCGAAAGUGCGGGGAGCAAACGGG